rnacentral:rRNA from 1 species
AAUGAACGUUGGCGGCGUGGAUUAGGCAUGCAAGUCGUACGAUAAGGGAUUUAUUCCUUAGAGUGGCGGAAGGGAUAGGAAUAUGUAGAUAACAUACCCUUCAGACAGGGAUAGCGUUUGGAAACGAACGGUAAUACCUGAUAACAUCUCCGGAUCAAAGGUGUGAGUCCGCUGAGGGAUUGGUUUACAUCCUAUUAGCUUGUUGGUGAGGUAACGGCCCACCAAGGCUAUGAUGGGUACCGGGCGUGAGAGCGUGACCCGGAUCACUGGGACUGGGACACUGCCCAGAAACCUACGGGUGGCUGCAGUCGAGAAUCUUCGGCAAUGGACGAAAGUCUGACCGAGCGACGCCGCGUGUAUGAUGAAGGUCUUCGGAUUGUAAGGUACUGUCGUGCAGGAGGAAUGCUUUUGGGGUACACUCCAAGAGCUUGACCUAUUGCAGGAGGAAGGACGGGCUAAGUUCGUGCCAGCAGCCGCCGUAACAC